rnacentral:lncRNA from 1 species
UUUUUUUUUUUUUAAUAAAUCACCUUUUCUUUUGUAUAACAGUAGAAUAGGGUGUUGUUCCAAAUGUCCAAGUACCCAUCACCUGUGCUCCAGCAGUGGCUGAAAAAGGAUGUUUAGGGAAGGUCUGUCACAAUUCUUCCCUCGUGGUGACAGCUAAUUUUAAGCCCAGUAUCACACAAAUAACUAGAAUUACCUUUGUUGUUUGCAGUGCUCUGCACUCAUUUUCUUCCCCAAUUGUCAUUUUAUUCCUCAUUAUUGCAUGAUUUUUCUAACCCUUUGCAGCUCCACUUCUGUGCAUUUUGGGGUCUCUUGAAUAGUGUUCCAUCAGAAGAUUUUAAUAUUUAUAACCUUCCUCAGUUCAUUUAUGUCACCAACCCGUGAAACCAUCACUGACAGUGUUUUUUCUCCAGCAGGAAAAUCAAUUAUAUGUUUCCUAUUUCUUUCCUAGCCUAUCAUUAAUCUACAUGAGGACCUCUCCUACCCCAUGGCAUCUUUCUUCCAUACUGCUUGAUAUGACAUUUUGAUGAACUUGUUUUAAAGAUCUCGUUAUGUUAUACUGACUCCAUUCUCCUUGCUUCGAUUCCCUCAAAGAAAAAAUCUGUAAUAAUUUGCCAAGCACAACUUUCCUUUUCUAUGUCUGUCAGAUUUCUUUCCCCAGUGCGUUGCAUUUAUUUAUCUGCUCUAAAAAACUUUUUUCUUUAAGGCCUGAUAACUUAUAAUUCUCUUCCUUAAUCCUUUAAGACAACAAAAACCUGUGACAUUAGGAACACAAAAUAAAAUAGUAAGGACACAUCUGAUGUCUGGUAUUUUCAGAAGUUUAAAAAGUUAAUUUAAAUUCAUUUUCUAGCAUCAGUUCCUUAAGGAUUGAGAUGCUUUGUCCCAGAUGCCCAUUUAACACACUUAGGUUAUUUGGGAAUUUUCUAGGUUUUCUAUCUUUCACCUUCACUUUUUUCUCUAAGACUGCAGGAUUUAACAUGUUUUUCUUCAAGAUUUCACCCUUGGAAGACAAAUUCUCACCAAUUACAUGAGAAUUUCUUGCCAAUUACCCCCCACACUUGUAAAAUCCCACUAUCUUUAUGUUUGAAAACAUACAUUUUGUAUUACAUCCAAACUUACCUUUAAAUAUUUCCUUUUUCUCCUGUAAAUCUUAGUCCUUCCUCUCAACAUUUUUUUUCUUAAACUCAUUUUUUGGGGUAGGGUAGAUAAUUAAGGAUCCUACAAGAAAAGACUGGGCAGAGAGUUCCUAAAAUUCAACCUUUUCUUGAAGCAAUCUGUUUCAAGCAAGCAUUUCUCUAAUAUUUCCUGUGUUGCUGGUACCUCUUGGAAUAUUCCAGCUGAAUCUCCUGUGCUAGACCAAGACAAAAUCACCUUCCCUGAGGGCUCCAAACCACAGCACCCCCCUUUCACCUCUCAUCUUCAUGAGCCAGCUCUACCAAGCUGAAAAUACACCUUUUUUCAUUCAUCAGUCACAUUAAACCAUAAUAUUUAAGGCUUAAUACAAUCACUGUAUUUGGCAAAAUAGUUUCUCCCACACACACUUCUGCUCCUAAUCAGAGAUAAUUAAGUAUGUGCAUCAUACAAAUUGACAGCCAUGUAGAUUCUGAAGCGGAGUUUAAAGUGUAAAUAAUGAUGAGAUAAAAGGGAUCUUUUGAGCAAAAUCAAAGUAUCAAGUAGUCAUUAUGUGUAAUCACUAUUACAAUUUAAUGACAUUUGUGCUAGAAUAGGAAUAUGAACAGGAAUUAAAGUGUCUCAUAUAUAUUACUACUUUUUUUUUUUAAUUUAACUCUAUGUUGGUUCCAAAUGGUUACCAAAACAUCAGCCUUUGCCUGAGCCUUUAGCAGGUGAUUUUACUGCAAACACAGAACCCAAGCCAACUGCAGUGGCCUGGAUGUGAGACGUGAGGAGGUCAUGCUGUGUGUGGCAAAAAUCCUAAUGUUUAUCCUUUUAAUCUUGCUUUCUGUGUUAAAUAUCAAUAUUAAGACUGGAAAGCCAUAAUUGGAAGCUGCUACCCCAUCACACACACAAAUCUAUACCUAAAAUACAGAAGUAACCUCAAACAGAUGUGACAGUGACACAGAAACCUGACUAAAGGGGUAAAGGGGAGGCAGAGGAAGGAGGAAUAAGAUUCCUUUGCUCCCAUGAACCUGAUAAGCAGCAAAUCAUGAGAGAGCAGAAGCAAGAGAGAAAGGAUUCUAUCUGCUUUUAAAUUUCCUGUGUAUUUGUAAAUGCUUUUAUUUUAUGAGCAGUUCAAAGGAUAACUACAGGAGUCAGUUGUGUCCAUCAUCAGGACAGCAGGUUUGCAAACAUCACUGCCUUGCACAGGUUUUUGAUAGAGCUGUUUCUAUAUCUAUCAUUUCUCAGGGGAUCAAGUCCCAAAUGUGGCCUUACUAAUAUUUCAAUGCAUCAUUGAAAAUGUAACAUGAGAUGAACAAAAUAAAUAAAACAGAAGUCCAGGAGUACUCAGUGAAAAAAAAAUUCCUGACUUCCAAAUGUUAUUUCACCCACAAGUUGAUGUGGAGGGGACAGGACAUAAAGGACACACUAAUCAAAUAAAAGACCUUAUGUAAUCUCUAGAAAUACCAGAUUGUGCAGCAGCACCAGUUGAGUUCAGGGCAUAGACUGAUACCAAGGUAUCCCUAGGGCCUCUUUGCAUUUCCUAAUUCAGAACUUGAUGUAGAAGAGAAAUUGUGGGGGUUUAUCCAGCAAUAUUUUUCCAUCUUUCCAUUUCUUCCUUUCUUCACUCAGAUUUUAAAGAAAGGUAUCUGGCUUUCUUGAUUAUGAACACCUUGAGCCAUUUCCAUUCAUAAACUGGGAAAAAAAACCAAUACAAUGAGUGGAUUGGUAAAAUCCCUCUGGAGUUGUUCUAAGGUUUCUGGCUUUAAAAUAAAAUAAAAUAAUUCUUAAAAAUAUGCCAUCCAACCAAAACAUCCCAUCUUCUAUAUAAUUCACAUCUAGAUUUGUCCAUUAAAAACAAUCUAAACAUUUUGGGUUGUUUUAUUAUUUUAUAGUGAAACCAAAUACAUGGCUUAAGCCUGUGCCUAUUUUUAAUGGGCUGUUUUAACUCUCUCAUUGAUCUGUUGUCAUGUUUAAUCAAGACAACAAAAAAAAGAGUAACAAGUAGGGUAAGCUUCAAGUACUGCACAUUUAAUUACAGCACGGAUUUGUUGGGGAGGAUGGGCUUAAAUUGACCUUUGUAUCAGGUUUCAUGAGCUUAGGUGUUCUUUUUAGACUCACAGAAUAUCAGCCCUGAAAAUGGGAAAAUAAAGUGGUUCUGUGUUUGAAUUAAACAAAAGGCCACUGUCAAGAACAGUCUGCAGAAGAACCACAAUAGCAAGAAGGUAUUUUUAGGUUUUUCUAGUCCAUCAGUCACCAGCAAAGCACCUCCCCAUCCUGAACAAGGUGCACACAAAUAUCAGAGCUGUUUUUCACAUAUUUAACAGAGCAAUGCCCCAGCAGUGGGGGCAGGUGCCUGGGCAGGCUGAGAAUGGGGCAGGGGAACCUCGCUGGGUUCACAAAGCCACGGGAAAAAUGGGGAGAGAAUUAUUAUAAGGGAUGGAGGGACAGGACAAGGGGAAAUGGCUUCAAACUCAGAGUAUGUUUAGAUUGGAUUUGGGAAGAAAUUCCUCCCUUGGAUGGUGGGCAGACCCUGGCACAGGGUGCCCAGAGCAGCUGUGGCUGCCCCUGGAUCCCUGGCAGUGCCCAAGGCCAGGUUGGACACUGGGGUUGGAGCAGCCUGGGACAGUGGAAGGUGUCCCUGCCAUGGCAGGGGGAGGAAUGGGAUGAGCUUUGAGGUCCUUUCUAACCCAAAGCAUCCUGUGAUUCCAUUAUAUAGAAACCUGAUGCUUUUGUUGUUGAUAUAACAGGUUCAAAACAGGGAAUUUAAAAUAGUCAAAUUCUAAGUUCCUUGUCCUUAAGAAGACUGUAAAUAACUUCUUUCUUCCAUGUUCCUUGGGAUCCUUAUCCUGUGCAUAUCACUCACUAAUAAACAAAUGCAAUUGAUCUGGUGGGAGAAAAGCCAAUUAUGCCACACAGAUCACAAGCACUACACCAAGCUGAGUCUUUUAACUGUUAGAAGCAUAAUUAGUUUCUCCCUCUUAAAAAUACAUAAAAUAUCAGAUGAGUCCUAGAAGUGCUUUGGGGGUGGUUUGUAUUUCCCAGCAUCUCAGAUGAUGUCUUGAUCUGAAAUGUUAAAUUUGGAGAGCAGAUCUUACAUGCAGGUAACUAAAAAAUGAUCAGAAAGAAAAUAGCCUAGAUUUCCCAGGGAGGCCUGUGCAAGCAGUAACAGCUCUCUACAUUAUCUGUAUUUGGCUGACAUCUAAGUACAGUUUUACAGCAUACAAUAGUAUUGGUAUUAUUUGUAGAUUAAAUUUGGAUUUAGCAAAACACAGGUAACACUCAUGACAAAAAAUAAGAGCUUAUGGGGAUUCCAGAAUGUUAAUAAACAGCAGAUACAGUAACUACAUUCUGACUUUCUGAAAACCUUAUGUGUGAUAACUUUCAUUAGAAUGGUGAGAUGAUUCAUUAACAUGGCAAGUACAAGAACAAUAAAAUAUAAAUAAAUAUAUGGAACACCCUUAAUCUCAGUUAGUUUGCUGUAGACCUCAUUAUUAAAGAAAACAUAUGCUUACAGAAUAUUUUUUAUAGAGUGCAGUAUUUAUACAAUUGUAAAUGGAUGUUUUAGUCCCACCAGGGGAUGAAAGCCUACUCAGACAUCAUAACAAUCUGCAGUAGAGACCAGAAAGUUCCCUCACAAGAAGCAGUCUGGGAGAAACCAUCUAAGAGGAAAAAAUACUCAGAAGCAACACUGUUCUCAGGUCUACAUGAAGUAUCUGGGGCUGGUGUAAAGGAGGGGAAUGGAAGCAGAUGAGCAAAAAACUGUAAGAAUUAUAUAAUUAUUUACUGGAAGGACUAAGGCAGCUGCAAACUCCACUGGGGGCACUGCCCCUUCUGCCAGGAACAUGCACCUCUGGCCAUGCAAAAAGAUCUGCAACCACUGAGCCACCCUGCUACCACAAAAACAGUUUUAAAGCCUGCUUUGCAAUACCUGCACUGAAUUACUGCCUGAUUUCAGGGGCAGCUUUGCUGCAGGAAGAUCAGUCCCUGCUUGGCCACCACUCUCCAUGCCACCUGUGUACAAAGAGCACCAGGCACCACAGGAAUUUAGAGGUGUCAAAGAGAGGAUGUGACACAAAACCCCAUUUUCCUGCCUGAAGGAUGACUCAGUUUGCCCACAGUGCUGAGGAACCUUGAGGUUCCUUUGCAGCCCUGGGAACACAAACAUUGGUAGCAGAAAACCUCCAUGAGCGAGGCUCCUCGGGAUGUGCACAAAGAGCUGGCAGGAAAAGAGGGAGAAGUCAAGAGUCUUGAAGCACACUUUGAGUUCCUGCCUUUUGAAGGCCCAGUAAACAUCACCCCAAUGCAAAUGCAGCAUCACACAUCUGAUGCAUUCCAGAUUCAGAUUCCUUUGUGAUUUUGCAAUGUAGAGUCAACAGAAAUGAACAAUUUUCACACAAAAGCAUUGUUAUUUUGAAGAAAUACCUAAUGCUGUUGAGAAAGACAUGAUUGUUUAAAAAAAAACCACCCUAUUUUUUACAAAUAGCUCAUUCUUAAAGGAUGUGCAUUGUCUACAGGGAACAUCCACUUUAAUUUACACACAGCUGACACUAAAAUGCCUUGUUAUUGUUGAAUUCCCUUCCUGAGUACACAUAAACACCCACUUCUUCCUGGCCUUAACAUUUCACUGAAAAGAACUUCCUCGCUCCUGUUUUGCAUAAUGAAGAGAAAAGACUUUGAAACCAAAUGAGGGGAAGAAAAUAAUAAGGCUACACACAUUAGGCUUUUACUAACUUUAACAGCAGUUAGGCACAGAAAUUAUCUGCUGGGGGGGGGGGGAACUGAGGGACUGUCAUUAGACUUGUUAAGAACAUGAUCAGUGCAAAACUCAAGGGACCAUCACAAAAUGGAAGGUGGGGCAACAGAAAAAUAAAAAGAAAAGGUAAAUUUUUUUUUAAAGAGUAAAAUAAAAAGCCAAUACACACUUCUUGGCGUAAUUAAAGGACUGACCAAAUGACACAGGAGGUGGAGAACAGAAUCUAGGCCCAGCAUCUAAAAUAUAAAGCAACAGUUUUAUUAGGCUGUAGGAAAGAAACAAAACAAAAAGCCAAAGCUGGUGUUUUUAAAACACUGAAGCUCACCUGGUGUUAAAGACAGAAAGCAGCAGCUAUUUUUAUGUUUCUAAAUGCCCUUAAUGCAUUUUCUAGUGGUUCAUAUUCUAGCAGUAUGCUUCUUGUGCACUGUACUUCAAGUGACUCCACUCAAAUAAUAAGGUCUUUGAAGUGACCUUGUGAAAGUCUUCCCUUGGAAAUGGACAGAUAGAAAUGAACUUUAAAGGUCAGCCUUAGAGGGGAGAGAAAAAAGAUCUGGUUUCCAGGCUGCAGCUCAUAUGUGCAGGUAAGGGGUGGCUGCGUUGCUUGCAAAUGAGAACUGUAAGAUGGAAGCAGACAGAUUUUCAUUUUAGUUCGGGAAAUCAAAACUAAAAAUUCUAAUAGACUGCUUAUCCCUUUUUCCACAAACAGACUUUCCUGGAUAGAAUCUACUGGCAGUGCACUUUGUUGCCAAAUCAGCCAUUUAGGAGCCUUUGGAGGUUUAGUGAGAGGACACAAAAGCACCUCCUCUCUCAAGACCUGCAUCCUGCCCUAUACAGCAUCACUUGAGGAGACACCUGAGACUCCAAACCCUGCCCAGCUUUUCCACAGGCAAAAGGGAUCAUUCCCUCAGACCAGGAAAGCUUUGCAGAGCAAGCACACAGCUUUUCUCCUGCUGGGAGCCAGGCAGAGGUGCUUUUCCUUGCCUUUCCCAGCUGGAAGAGGGGUCACCAGCAGCCCAGCCAGCAGGGAAAGGAGGGAAUUUGUGGCCUCUCCACAACUUCCCCAUCCAGCACCACAUCCAUCCUCCUCUCAAACGUCAUUGGCCCAAUUGAGGAGAAAAAUAAUUAGUUUCACUCUACUUCCUGCUAAUUACAGAGUGUAUAAUCUGCCAAACGAUGUACACGCUCGUGUUGGCUGUGGCCUGCUGCCUCCCCCUGCUAGCACAGGCAGCGAAUGGCUUACCAGUGACAGCUGGCAAACCAGCCUCUGGGAAUAAAACAUUUUAGCACUUCAUAAAUUUCUAACAAGGUUUCAAAUUGCUUCAGUUUCCCUCCUCUCAGCUCUGUCAGACUAGCAAAGGAGUUGGGGUGGGGGGGGGGGGAGAGGUGAACACUAAUUAAAUCGGUAGCAGAAAAGUACAACUUGUAAGAUAGUUCAUUAUUUUUAAUAAGCAGCAAUUAGACCCCAACUCCGAGGAAAGUUGGAUGCUACCUGCGAUGCACUGGCAGCAGGGAAAGCUGAAAUACAUCCUUCUGCCUCAAAUUCUCAAUGUAGGAACAAGUAAAGCACUUCAAAGUGCAGCUGCAUGACACGAUAAAACUUAAUGGAAGGUGACACAAUGCACUGAAAACUCGGAGGGAACAUGCAGCAUAGUUGGCAUUAAUGUUAGGGUUUCAUAUCACCAUUCAGAUAACAAAUGGUUUCCAAAUCCCCUCAUGAAGCUGCCAUCAGGAUAAAAAGCUGUCUUAUCAUUAUUACUAUUGAUUAGACAACAUACCACAUUACACUGAAUCUGACAUCCUGACCACAGGAAUGUGCCUAGAAUAAAAAUAAUAGGAUGCAAACAGCUAUUGAUCAUAUUUAUAGCAGGCUCUCUCACAGGUGUAAGCCAGCAACUCUCCUCUCAGUAUGAACAGACAAAACACAGGGACUGAUUUAGAAGCCAAAUGUUCCAGAAAAAAAUCAAAUAUUUGUGCAUUUGACAUUACAGAAGUGUUGUAAAACAUGAAGAUUUUACACAGGAUUGUAGGAAAGACUUAAACAGAAAUAGGUACUUGGUGAAAACAGAAUAAAUGUGUUUAAUAGGAAAUAAACAGCACAGUAGAAUAAUAGUGUCACGUUGUUAGAGCUACACUUCUUUUGCCAAAAUUGACCUUUAUUUUGUCUUCAUUUUAGUAGUAGUUGAAACCAAAAGGCAGUAACUGAACAGAUUUAUUCUUUUUCAUUAUAUUUAGCUCUGAAAGAUCAGAAUGGUGCUAGAUUUAACUUAGGAAAUAAUAAUAAAAAAAGAAGAAGAAGCAGAAAGGUACCAAAUCUGGGCUGUGUGGACCUGACAGUCCUUCAGUACAGUGAAAAAUCCUUCAGGAAGGAAUUAAGACAAAAAAAUACCCAAACCCAAGACAAAUGCACAGCAGAGCUGGUGUUUUACAAGGAGAAAGAAUUUGCCAUCAGGACCACGGCUUGCUGUGUCCUCUUUCCAGGAGAAUCUCUAACCAUGGAUAACUUCCAGAUAAAGAUAUUCACCUGGAAACGUGUUUACUUUUAAGUGAAAGCUGAAUGUCUACAGGAAAAGGCUGUGAAACUCGUGGGCACCUUCAUCUGACAAGGCUGAGGCACUGAGGGCCUUAUUCACCCCAGUUUUUAAUUGCAAGAUCAGCCUUAGGAAUCCCAAAAUCUUUCCCCAGAGACCAAGGGGAAAGGCUGGAGCAAGGAGGACCUUAGUGGAAGAGGAUUAAUUCAGGGAAUACAUAAAGGAAUAAAACUUGCAUAAAUCCAUGGGCAAUGGUGAAGUGUUUAAUGUUUCUUCUGUAAAAUGAAAUUCACCUCCUAUUUCUUAGCUCAGAAGUUCACCCACAAAAAAUAAUCAAACUUUCCUUCCUCAUGUCCAACAUUUUAAUUACUGUGUUAUAAAGAACUCAAAAUUCACCCAUUUUCAUUCUCUUGCUGCUUCAGCAGGAGGGAUCUUAAGCUCAGAGCAGACAGGGAAGAAGGUGAAAGAAGAGGGAAAAAGGGAAGGAAAGAAGAGAAAAAAUGAGCUGGAGGGGAGUGAAAAUGAAAGCAGGGCAAGAGAAGUGCUGAUGAGGAUGCAUACAGCAUUUCUAUCAGAACUAAAUUCUAAAAGAGACCAGAAUUCCAGACUCAGGCCAACAGAACUAAAUCCAAAAUCUUCACUUCACUGUCAUUUCUCAAGCACAACUCUAAAUGUCCUCAAAAAAUAAAACCAAGACCACCACCAAGCACAGCCUCAAUGCUUUGCUGCGAAAAUGAGUGGCAAACAUAUUUUAAACCAAUUUUUGCUCAUUUUACCCAAGUGAGUGCUCAAGCAAUAAUUCUGGAGACAUUCAGUGCUGCUAUGAUGGAGACCUGGCUGCUGCUGCUUAUGUUUGUAGCCAUGGAAUUUCGAGCAAAGUUGGUGUCACUCAUUUCAGCCAUAGCACCAAAAGUGCCAGUCAGCAACGUUCAAGCAAGAAAUAAAAUACAUUUAAAACAAAUAAAUGAAUCUUAGGGGGAAAAGAAGCAUAAAAGUGUGUUCAGAAGGCCUGAAGCUGCUCAGGAAAUAAAUCUUCUGUGUUAUUUAACAAUGAAAGAGGCAAUAACAACUUUUAAAAUGACCUCUUCUUCUCCCCAAAUUAGGGUGUAAAGGAAAAAUGCUAUUUUUCUCCCAGGCAAAAAAAAAAAAAAAAAAUAAUAAAAAAAAAA